GCCGAGCGGGGACCGGGACCGAGGAGGAGCAGGGCAGGCUGCUCCCGCGCGGCCCCGCCGGGGCACGUUGGGGAGCUAUUUGCAGAACCAGGACCGUCUUUACUUUCUCGCCGACCCACGGGCUUCUUUGCAGAAAAUGAUAAUUUUCUGUUUCUGUUCGCUGAUCGCCUACUGCGCCCCAAGGAAAUACUCUGGAGGAAGUACUCUGGAGACCCAGAGUUCUGGCUGAAACCCCUGCAGACAUGGACUCUGCUGACCUUAGACCUGAAACCUACUCCCUGUGUCCUCUGUCAAGUUUGAGUGGGUCAAUUUCAAGGUACCAAGAAGAGGUCCCUGAAGGUGGGGUUGGAAGGAGAAACACAGUAAGUAGCUCAUGAUUAUAUAACGUUUUCACCAACUAAUACAGUAGGCGUGACAGUCGGCAAGAGCAUAGACAGUAGUAAAACAGUAGAAUAGUAAGGAAACGAGGAGUUUUGAAUUAUUUCUUACUUUUGUCUUCAAUAUAAUGAUUUCAUUGUAAGCUUAUGUAACUUAAUUUUAAAUAAUGGCUGUGUUUUACAACCAGCUUGCAAAGUUCUGAAAAUUUCCCAGUGGGAUCUUGUGAGCUGACACAGGCUGGCUCCAGCCCAUGCCUGGAAGCCAUGCAGUCUCACGGUUCUGUCCCUGCUGUUGCCGCUUCCGAGCCUAGAAUUUCUAUUUCAUGGUUCCCACAGCAGCUCAGUGAGGUUGGCAUGUUAGGCUUGGUGUUUUGUUUUGUUUUGUUUGCACAGGUUAGUGGCAUGUGGGAGUUCCCAAGCCAGGGAUCCAACCCAUGCCAUGGCAGCAACCCGAGCUACUGCAGUGACAACAUCAUAAUCCUUAACCCACUGAGCCACAAGGGAAUUUCCAGGCCUGCUGUGAAGUGAAACCCAGCUGGGGUAGACACUGCAAUAGCGCUGUUAGUGGCCAACAAUCCCAUCCCUGCUGCAGUGAUGGGGCAAGACUCCCCUUGCGUCCUUCUCCGGGGGCCACUCCGGCUGCUGAGAGGAGCCCCUCCCUGGCAUCACUGCAAGUUACGAUGGCCCAUGGUAACUUGAUAACAUGUGUGAGGUGCAAAGCCUGGUCCCUCGCCCCAAGGAGGGCAUGCCAUGGAGUGGGUUACACCCAGAGCAUCUGCGGAUCAGGCCAAAGUCUUUACCUGAGACACAGCCUGGCUUGACAACUUCCUCUUCAUCCUGCUUCCCACACUCCCUGUAUCUGAAAGCAGUCCUUCCAUAAGUUAUAUGUAUCCAACUCCCUGUCCUGGGCUCUGCUUCCAAGAAACUUGACCAAAGACAUGAAGCCUCAAAGAGACUUUCCCAAAGCCCCACAGUGACCAAAGCAAAAUUUGUACCCAGGUCUUCUUCUUCUCAGGAAAGUGUUCCUGCCAUCACAUCAUGGCUGCUUCUACUAAACCCUCUUCAGCAACCAUGAAAUGCAGCUGAAGCGCAAAGACCUUAAUACAGCCCUCAAGCCCCUGGUGCUCUGACUCCAACCUUCCUUUCCAGCAUCGUUUCCUAGGAUUCUCUCUACUCACACGACUGACUUCAGCCAGAGCAGACCUGCUUUCUGUUCCUCAACCCUGCUCUGGGUUUCUUCUCUGCAUGCUUUUGUUUCUGUUGUUUCUUCUUCAGGAUAAAUAAAUUUAUUUUAUUUAUUUAUUUAUUUUUGACCAUGCCUGCACCAUGUGGAAGUUCCCGGUCCAGGGGUCA